GACGAACGCUGGCGGCGUGCUUAACACAUGCAAGUCGAACGGAGUGGCGAACGGGUGAGUAACACGUGGGUGAUCUGCCUUGCACUUCGGGAUAAGCUUGGGAAACUGGGUCUAAUACCGGAUAGUGCAAGAUGGGCGCGCGGCCUAUCAGCUUGUUGGUGGGGUAAUGGCCUACCAAGGCGUCGACGGGUAGCCGGCCUGAGAGCGUGUACGGCCACCUGGGGCCUACGAGACGGACCAGACUCCAACGGGAGGCAGCAGGGGGGAAUAUGGCACAAUGGGCGGAAGUCUGAUGCAGCGACGUCGCGUGUGGGAAGAAGGCUUUCGGGUUGUAAACUCCUGUCGACAGGGACGCGGUACCUGUAGAAGAAGCACCGGCUAACUACGUGCCAGCAGCCGCGGUAAUAC
rnacentral:rRNA from 1 species